rnacentral:rRNA from 1 species
UGGGGAAUAUUGGGCAAUGGAGGGAACUCUGACCCAGCGACGCCGCGUGCGGGAUGAAGGCCUUCGGGUUGUAAACCGCUUUCAGCAAGGAAGAAGCGAAAGUGACGGUACUUGCAGAAGAAGCACCGGCUAACUAUGUGCCAGCAGCCGCGGUAAUACAUAGGGUGCAAGCGUUGUCCGGAAUUAUUGGGCGUAAAGAGCUCGUAGGUGGUUCGUCACGUCGGAUGUGAAAAUCUGGGGCUUAACCCCAGACCUGCAUUCGAUACGGGCGAGCUAGAGUGUGGUAGGGGAGACUGGAAUUCCUGGUGUAGCGGUGGAAUGCGCAGAUAUCAGGAGGAACACCAAUGGCGAAGGCAGGUCUCUGGGCCAUUACUGACACUGAGGAGCGAAAGCGUGGGGAGACGAACAGGAUU